rnacentral:rRNA from 1 species
AUUGAACGCUGGCGGCAUGCUUUACACAUGCAAGUCGGACGGCAGCACAGAGAAGCUUGCUUCUUGGGUGGCGAGUGGCGAACGGGUGAGUAAUAUAUCGGAACGUACCGAGUAAUGGGGGAUAACUAAUCGAAAGAUUAGCUAAUACCGCAUAUUCUCUGAGGAGGAAAGCAGGGGACCUUCGGGCCUUGCGUUAUUCGAGCGGCCGAUAUCUGAUUAGCUAGUUGGUGGGGUAAAGGCCUACCAAGGCGACGAUCAGUAGCGGGUCUGAGAGGAUGAUCCGCCACACUGGGACUGAGACACGGCCCAGACUCCUACGGGAGGCAGCAGUGGGGAAUUGUGGACAAUGGGCGCAAGCCUGAUCCAGCCAUGCCGCGUGUCUGAAGAAGGCCUUCGGGUUGUAAAGGACUUUUGUCAGGGAAGAAAAGGCUGUUGCUAAUACCGACAGCUGAUGACGGUACCUGAAGAAUAAGCACCGGCAACUACGU